AUGCUCACUUCGGCAGCACAUAUAGUAAAACUGGAAUGAUACAGAGAAGAUUAGUGUGGCCCAUGAACAAGGAUGAGAUGUAAAUUCAUGAAUCAUUCCAUAUUUUU